GCUCCUGGGUGGUUGCAGGUGUGGCUACUGUGUUACAUGUGUGCCAGUAGGUCGCAGAGGAGAGAGGCUAUGUCUAUGCUCAAUGUUCUUACCUAUGACCAUCUAAAUGAUUGAUAACAAU
rnacentral:snoRNA from 1 species